rnacentral:rRNA from 1 species
UUACCGGCUUGACAUCAAUGAAAGUCUUCGGAACAGGUGCUGCAUGGCUGUCGUCAGCUCGUGUCGUGAGAUGUUGGGUUAAGUCCCGCAACGAGCGCAACCCUGUGACUGUUGCCAGCAUAUGGGACUCUGUCAGACUGCCCAGAUUAAUGGGAAGAAGGUGGGGAUGACGUCAAGUCAGUAUGGCCCUUACGCCGGGCUGCACACGUGCUACAAUGUAGUACAUGUGCCACCGCGAGGGGAGGAAUCCUUAACUGGCUCAGUUCGGAUUGUAGGCUGCAACUCGCCUACAUGAAGUUGGAAUCGCUAGUAAUGGCUAUCAGCACGAGCCGUGAAUACGUUCCCGGGUCUUGUACACACCGCCCGUCACAUCAUGGAAGCCGCCGACCAAA